rnacentral:rRNA from 1 species
UGGGGAAUAUUGGACAAUGGGCGCAAGCCUGAUCCAGCCAUGCCGCGUGAGUGAUGAAGGCCUUAGGGUUGUAAAGCUCUUUCGGCGGGGAAGAUAAUGACGGUACCCGCAGAAGAAGCCCCGGCUAACUUCGUGCCAGCAGCCGCGGUAAUACGAAGGGGACUAGCGUUGCUCGGAAUCACUGGGCGUAAAGCGCACGUAGGCGGCUUACUAAGUCAGUGGUGAAAGCCUGCAGCUUAACUGCAGAAUUGCCAUUGAUACUGUUAGUCUUGAGUACAGUUGAGGUAGGCGGAAUGUGUCAUGUAGCGGUGAAAUGCUUAGAUAUGACACAGAACACCGAUUGCGAAGGCAGCUUGCUAAGCUGUAACUGACGCUGAGGCACGAAAGCGUGGGGAGCAAACA